rnacentral:misc_RNA from 1 species
CGGCAGGUCGCGAAGACUUAGACCGCUUGUAUGCUGCCUGCGGAGUGCUCGCGCCGGCUGGUGGCCGAGCUGCGGGACGCCCUGGACUCCUGCGCCGAGCGACAACGGCAGCUGGAGCAGAGCCUGCGAGUCUCCCGGCGGCUGCUGCGGGUCUGGGAACCAGCCGAGACCCCAGCUCCGGAGCCAACCCCAGGGUCAGAAAUUAAUAAAGAGGCCCCAUCUUCAGCAUGCCCACCCAGCCCCCAAGACCUCAAGGAGCUGGAGCUUCUGACCCAGGCACUGGAGAAGGCAGUACGAGUGCGAAAAGGCCUCUCUAAGGCUGGAGAAGGAGUCAAGGCCCGCAGCCUGAAGUCUGGGUCUGCUUCCACUGCCACCAAAGCCUCUGCCCCACCCAGCACCUCACGCUGCACUGGCAGCCGUGCACCUGAGACAAAACCCCCCAGGGGUGUCCACCACCCCUGGGUGCCCGCAAAGGACCUCCCUGGGCGCAGGCUUCUGUUGGUGGGAGAUGGCGCCCAUAUGGGGCAGGGGGCCGGAGCCAACAAGCCUGAAGCAGGCCUCAGGGACCAGCAGAUUGUCCCCCAGGCUGCUUCUCAGGUUCCAGAAGCUUUUACGCUCAAGGAUAAGGGGGCCUUACUGCGGCUGCCAGAGGCCUUCAGGAAGGCGGCUUCCCGGAAUGCUAGGCUGCCCAUGUGUGCAUCCAGCCUGUGGGCCCAGCUCAGCUCGAUGCAGACCAGGGAUUCUGUGGAUGCUGCUGCUGCCACCGCCAAAACCCAGUUCCUCCAGAAAAUGCAGACAGCUGCAGGCCUGCCCAGCUCCAUGCUCAGCGCAGCAGAGGUGGGGCGCCUACAGAAGGCCUGCUCCAUGCUGAGGCUUCGAAUGAGGGAGGAGCUCACGGCAGACCCCAAGGACUGGACGCAGGAGUACCGCAGCCUGCUCACCCUGGAGGGGCUGCAGGCCCUGGCAGGGCAGUGUCUGCACAGGCUGCAAGAGCUGCAGGAGCUGCGCUCCGCGGUGGUGGAACAGCCGCAGGGGCCAUGGCCUGAGGGGCCCCCCAGGGCCGCCUUGCCCUGUGGAGGAGGCGCAGACCCAGUGUGGAGCCCCCAGCUGCUUCUCUACUCCAGCACCCAGGAGCUGCAGACCCUGGCAGCCCUCAGGCUACGGGUGGCCAUGCUGGACCAGCAGGUCCAUCUGGAAAAGGUCCUAAUGGCUGAGCUGCUCCCCCUGCUGAGCGAGCAGGAGCCCCUGGGGCGCCCCUGGCUGGCGCUGUGCCGGGCUGCACACUGCCUGCUCUGCGAGGGGGGCCAGCGCUUCCUCACCGUCCUGCAAGAUGAGCCUGCUGACCGACUGAGCCCUCCCUGAGGCCCGGCCCACCCCAACCCCCGAGCCCUGCAACAAGGCAGGCUGGCUCUGCCCCCAGCCCGACUGUUGUCAAGACACCCCCACUCAGUAAUUAAACGAAUUGGCAUCAAGGGCAUUUUCACUGGUGCAGUGAGUGGGGGGCCCAGAGGGGCCUGUGCCCCCUUGGGAAGCCAGGUUUCCACCCAGCGGGGACUGCCCCCGGCUCUUCCUGGGGAACUUAGGGCCUUCCUCACAUUUGCUGGUCAGGGUUUGGCUUUACUUGGCCUUCCAUAGGCUUGGGCGAACAGAGGCUGUGGGGACUUUGCUUAGCUACCUCUGUUUCUUCUUGCUGUACACUUAUAAGCCACUUGUGUGACAUUAAAACUGCUUUAGAAAGUAUGUAUUUUUAAUCAU